rnacentral:rRNA from 1 species
UACGGGGGGGGCAAGCGUUGUUCGGAAUUACUGGGCGUAAAGGGCUCGUAGGCGGCCAACUAAGUCAGACGUGAAAUCCCUCGGCUUAACCGGGGAACUGCGUCUGAUACUGGAUGGCUUGAGGUUGGGAGAGGGAUGCGGAAUUCCAGGUGUAGCGGUGAAAUGCGUAGAUAUCGUUUGGAACGCCAACGGUGAAAACAGCAGGCUGGGGAUGUGCUGACGCUGAGACACGAAAGCCAGGGGAGCAAACGGG